GAGGAGAGAACCUGUUCAGUGAUUUAUUGCCUAUCCAAGAAUGUUUUAAGCAGUGCCAUAGACCAUGCAAGUAUAUAAGAUAAUGUUUCAUAUAUAGCACUCUCACAUUAUUUCAUUGUUAUUCUUACUCUAACUUAUUUCUAUAAUAUUAUGGUUCUGAAUGUGAUAUUUUAGAUAGGCUUGGGUAUCCUUAAAAAUGUAAACUGUUUUUUUUUUUGUUUAUUUUAUUUUUUUGGUCUUUUUUUGUUUUGUUUUGUUUUGUUUUGUUUUGUUACUGCAUUAUGGUGCCAAGUAUCCAACACAGAAAUGAAGUGUGUAAGAGUUAUAAAAAAUACUUAAGUCAGACGGUAAAUGUAUUGAUUAUGACGUGUUAAGAAAAAAAAAACAAGACAGAGAGAUAAACUCUAAAGGCAGGACAGAGCAGGAAGCCUCGCUUUUUUUAUUUGUUUAGUAUGUAGCCUUCAGCAGCCUUCAUUGCAAAUAAUUUGAGCAUUAAAGAGACGCCAGCGUUUCCUUUUAUCGACUUAAUUUACGACACUACAGAUUCAGACUGUGUGAAGCCGUCAGAUUUGAUCCUCUGUGAUUUUUCUUUCUUUUUUUUUGUGCCUGCUGCAGACUUUCCGUUGUCUUGUGUGAUUUGGGUUCGUAGGGCAAAAACAGUUUUCCUUUUCUUUUCUUAAAAAAAAAGCCUGCUUGUUUCUGUUCCUGCUGGUCAUUGUGAGUAUAUACUGUAGGAGUUAUAAGCCGCAGUUUUUUUUUUUCUUCACUCCAUCUUAUUAAAAACGCAGAUAGAGAUUUUAUUCUAGCCCCCUUCCCGUUUCCGGACGGCCUGGCCUCUACUGUAGGUGAUGCAGUUCUCAAGCAAUAAAAAAAACCAUUAGAGCUUACUGACUGUUUGUCCUCUUAUUUUCACCCUCCUUUACUACACAAUAAGAGCUCUUCGUGGAGAAAAAAAAGGUCUUCCUCAAUUAGUCUCCCACGACAUCAUCAGUGUAUCAUUAGUAUAUGAUCACAGUGUGGAGUGAGAGGGCUCAGCGACACGUCCUCUGCUCGCCUCUCUUCAGGGAGAUGCUCUCUGACACCGGCUUUAAUUAACCUCCACAGCAGCCACGAACGGAAAAGUAACAUUACGAGAGGAUUAUUCCUAACAUUGACUUUUUAAGUGGGAUAUUUAUAUUUUUUCCUAUUUAUUCUGGUUUCGCUACAUUGUUUUGCCAAUUCUCAGGAGGGACGCCUUGAAUGUAUUCUGCUCAGUUAAGAAAAAUACGAGUUGCUGAUAUGAAAUGUGCAGUUUUUUAAUCAAUUUGACAGAUAUUUUAAUCCAGGAUGAGGGGAAAUGAAAAGGCGACAGGCGCCUAGUGUGGAAAUUAAUCUAAAUCCGUUUAAAUGUGAUUAAAACGAGCGAAACUGAAGUGCUUAGUUUAGCCUAGCAAAGAAAUCUGAGCACCUUGCGUGGCUUCAUUGACACUUAACGUGAAUUUCAACAAGUUUACACACAAACCCACUGAAAAUAUAUAUUUAAGUCACACCAAAACAAGGUUUUAAAAAUAAAAUAUACACUUACAUGCAUAAAAAAGUCCAGCACUAACGCAACAGUCUGUUUUAUCAGGGUGAAGGAAAAGUAGAAAGUUAGCUGCACCACUGUGAAGAGAGGCACGAGAAGUAAAUUCGAUGUAAGGGGGUUAAAACGAGCGAAAUUUAAGUGCGCAGUGUCGGAAAAAGACAUUGUAAAGCACCUCAUGUGGCUUAUUUGAUGCUAAACCUUCCCAAAAAUUAAACUUCAGAAGGCUUCCACACACAAACACAUGUAGCCUAUAGUGUGGCCCUGUAUUAGAGGAUACUGAAGUCACACGAAAAUAAAGGGAAAAAAAUACUUGUGUGCUAAAAAAGCUCUAUAAGUUUGUGUCAUUUUAAUUCUAUUCUUAUAUUAUAGUCUUUUCGUUUCUUCGCCACAUUAUGUGUCAGCAGUGUUCACCUCACACACUCUCUGUCAAAGUUUCCUGACUGGGAUUUUAGUUUAUGGCUGCUCAAUUCUGAUUGGCUGAGAGCUCCUAUUGAAUCUAAUGGAAAGGUGUAGUACCGCGUCACAGACAGAGGGGGAGCACUUCUGACCCA
ensembl:lncRNA